GAUGAACGCUGGCGGUGGGCCUAACACAUGCAAGUCGAGCGAAAAGACGAUGAGCGCUUGCUCCUGAGGUUAGCGGGGGGCGGGCGGGUAACACGUGCAUAAGCAACUAAUAUUACGGGGAGAACUUCGGGAAACCGGUGCUAAUACUGCAGAAUAUAUUCAACGGCAGGGAGCAAGAGAGAAAGAGAGCUUGCGCGUCUGUAUGAGCCGAUGCCGGAUUAGCUAGUUGGCGGGGUAAGGGCCCACCAAGGCAACGAUCCGUAGCUGAUCUGAGAGGAUGAUCAGCCACACUGGAACUGAGACACGGUCCAGACUCCUACGGGAGGCAGCAGUGGGGAAUAUUCGGCAAUGGGCGCAAGCCUGACCGAGCCAUACCGCGUGAGUGAUGAAGGUCUUCGGGUCGUAAAGCUCUGUUAUUAGGAAAGAAAAGCUGUAUAUGUAACUCUGGACGUCCUGACGGUACCCAAUGAAAAAGCACCGGCUAACUUCGUG
rnacentral:rRNA from 1 species